rnacentral:rRNA from 1 species
AAGUUGCAGGGUAUAGACCCGAAACCCGGUGAUCUAGCCAUGGGCAGGUUGAAGGUUGGGUAACACUAACUGGAGGACCGAACCGACUAAUGUUGAAAAAUUAGCGGAUGACCUGUGGCUGGGGGUGAAAGGCCAAUCAAACCGGGAGAUAGCUGGUUCUCCCCGAAAGCUAUUUAGGUAGCGCCUCGUGAAUUCAUCUCCGGGGGUAGAGCACUGUUUCGGCUAGGGGGCCAUCCCGGCUUACCAACCCGAUGCAAACUGCGAAUACCGGAGAAUGUUAUCACGGGAGACACACGGCGGGUGCUAACGUCCGUCGUGAAGAGGGAAACAACCCAGACCGCCAGCUAAGGUCCCAAAGUCAUGGUUAAGUGGGAAACGAUGUGGGAAGGCCCAGACAGCCAGGAUGUUGGCUUAGAAGCAGCCAUCAUUUAAAGAAAGCGUAAUAGCUCACUGGUCGAGUCGGCCUGCGCGGAAGAUGUAACGGGGCUAAACCAUGCACCGAAGCUGCGGCAGCGACACUGUGUGUUGUUGGGUAGGGGAGCGUUCUGUAAGCCUGCGAAGGUGGCCUGUGAGGGUUGCUGGAGGUAUCAGAAGUGCGAAUGCUGACAUAAGUAACGAUAAAGCGGGUGAAAAGCCCGCUCGCCGGAAGACCAAGGGUUCCUGUCCAACGUUAAUCGGGGCAGGGUGAGUCGACCCCUAAGGCGAGGCCGAAAGGCGUAGUCGAUGGGAAACGGGUUAAUAUUCCCGUACUUGGUGUUACUGCGAAGGGGGGACGGAGAAGGCUAUGUUGGCCGGGCGACGGUUGUCCCGGUUUAAGCGUGUAGGUGUGUGUUCCAGGUAAAUCCGGUUCACUUUAACACUGAGGCGUGACGACGAGGCACUACGGUGCUGAAGCAACAAAUGCCCUGCUUCCAGGAAAAGCCUCUAAGCAUCAGGUAACAUCAAAUCGUACCCCAAACCGACACAGGUGGUCAGGUAGAGAAUACCAAGGCGCUUGAGAGAACUCGGGUGAAGGAACUAGGCAAAAUGGUGCCGUAACUUCGGGAGAAGGCACGCUGACACGUAGGUGAAGUGAUUUACUCAUGGAGCUGAAGUCAGUCGAAGAUACCAGCUGGCUGCAACUGUUUAUUAAAAACACAGCACUGUGCAAACACGAAAGUGGACGUAUACGGUGUGACGCCUGCCCGGUGCCGGAAGGUUAAUUGAUGGGGUCAGCGCAAGCGAAGCUCCUGAUCGAAGCCCCGGUAAACGGCGGCCGUAACUAUAACGGUCCUAAGGUAGCGAAAUUCCUUGUCGGGUAAGUUCCGACCUGCACGAAUGGCGUAAUGAUGGCCAGGCUGUCUCCACCCGAGACUCAGUGAAAUUGAACUCGCUGUGAAGAUGCAGUGUACCCGCGGCAAGACGGAAAGACCCCGUGAACCUUUACUAUAGCUUGACACUGAACAUUGAGCCUUGAUGUGUAGGAUAGGUGGGAGGCUUUGAAGUGUGGACGCCAGUCUGCAUGGAGCCGACCUUGAAAUACCACCCUUUAAUGUUUGAUGUUCUAACGUGGACCCGUUACCCGGGUUGCGGACAGUGUCUGGUGGGUAGUUUGACUGGGGCGGUCUCCUCCUAAAGAGUAACGGAGGAGCACGAAGGUUGGCUAAUCCUGGUCGGACAUCAGGAGGUUAGUGCAAUGGCAUAAGCCAGCUUGACUGCGAGCGUGACGGCGCGAGCAGGUGCGAAAGCAGGUCAUAGUGAUCCGGUGGUUCUGAAUGGAAGGGCCAUCGCUCAACGGAUAAAAGGUACUCCGGGGAUAACAGGCUGAUACCGCCCAAGAGUUCAUAUCGACGGCGGUGUUUGGCACCUCGAUGUCGGCUCAUCACAUCCUGGGGCUGAAGUAGGUCCCAAGGGUAUGGCUGUUCGCCAUUUAAAGUGGUACGCGAGCUGGGUUUAGAACGUCGUGAGACAGUUCGGUCCCUAUCUGCCGUGGGCGCUGGAGAACUGAGGGGGGCUGCUCCUAGUACGAGAGGACCGGAGUGGACGCAUCACUGGUGUUCGGGUUGUCAUGCCAAUGGCACUGCCCGGUAGCUAAAUGCGGAAGAGAUAAGUGCUGAAAGCAUCUAAGCACGAAACUUGCCCCGAG